UCAAAAGUUUGGGAUUAGUAUGAAAUUUUCCCCCCUCUUAUUCUCAUUAAGGGUGCAUAAACAUUGUCUUUACUGUAAAAAAGAGACAAAAACUUACUGACCGUGGAUAAAUUAUUUAUACAAUAUUAUUUUAUUUAAUGCAAUUCUAUUAUUGUUGUUGUUGUUUUCUCUAAUUUCAGUGUUUCAACGAUUACCUUUAUGUAUGUGUGAGCUAUUUUUGUCUUGAGAUUGUUUCAUAACCUUUUUGUGUGUGUGUGUGUGUAUGUGUGUGUGUGUGAUCAGUUGUAGGUACUCAUCAGCGAGUGAUAAUUCAACAGUAAAGGCUGCCACAGAAAAUGACCGUUUAUGAGUCCAAAACAGGGGGAGUCACUGUUUAAUAUUUCAUAUUCAUUAACAUUUGGAAGAAACUGUGAUUUAAAAGGGGGAAAAUCAAGUAUGAGAUUCUUUGGCAAAUGUUAAAAUGGUCCAGGAUUAAGCUGCUGUUAAUUAUUUAUGAACAUGAAUUUCACGAUUAUGGGUCUGACUGACGCACUGCAUUGAGCAGCUCCAAUUGAACACACAAUCAGUGGAUUUGAAAUAUGUCUCUGUUUCUCCAAGCUAAGUGUUAAGGCAUGAAUCAUUAAAUAUUUGCUGCAUUAAUUAUUCAGAUACGCCAAUUCUUAUUAGAAAAUAGGGUGAAGAAACUAAAAGUGUGUUAAAAUAAGACAGAAACAUCAUCUUGUCUAAGGGUCUGGAUGAAGUUAUUUGCUCUGGAGAUGUGUGUGUUCAGACUGUUUUGCUCCAUGUGCUGAAUCAGAGUCUUAUGGAAAGUGUGACCUGCUGCAGGGUGGGAUGGCUUCCUUGUUUUAUCUUUCAUUUUCUCAGCAUCCUUCCGUUAAAAGCCUCUAAAGAAUGAACUUUAUGAACUUCUUACAUUUUAGUUUGCAGCAGUAAUGCUCUUAACAAAACAGAAUCACCAUGAGGUACUGUAAUAUGUUUGUUCAGCAAGGAUUUUUUUUUUUUAAAUUAGUAUUGUAAUGUAUUUUGUUCAUUAAUUAGUUGAUUGUACAUUGAUUUUUAAUUUUAUAAUUUAACUUCCAAGCAAGGUUUUGUUAAGCCAACCAGUUUAAAUUGAUAAAAAUUUAUUUUCCUGUUACUGUGUCUAAACCCUCCUCUGACCAAUGCACAAUUAUUCACUGAAACUCAAUAGUUUUGGAUCCUGCAGCUUAAAUGUUGUGCACAUUUCUUACAGUCUUUUUGCAUAAGCAUGAUAUUAGUCAGAGGUGAACUGAGCUGAUCUUACCUUAUGAAAUCCCCUUCAUUACCAUUAUAUUAAGCACUGGGCCAUUCACCAAAGUUUAGAGAGGCCAUAAUGUUCUGUCCUCGUGUUUGCCACUGAUUAAGGUUUUGAUUGAGUGAUUAAAAGCUUUCCUGUGGUUCUCCCUCCUGCUGACCUCUUGCUGUGGCGCUCUUGCUCAGAAAUCAUUUAAAUUUUCUCUAACUGUCAAGAGAGGCCCACUCGUUGCAUCAAGCCUCUUUCCUGAAUGGCUGCACACAUUAGCAUAGCGCACAUAACGAGCACUCUGACCCGAGAUGCACCCAAAAGGGGCUUUUAACGGUUAAGGCUUCACCUUUUAUCCAUAGAGAAGCUUGUAGUGCUAAACUAAACCACCCUGACCACUUUAACAGUUAAGUCACUCUGAAGUGGCGAUAAGGGCCGAGCAUUACAUAAAUUGUUAAAAGUGCUCUGGGUGAAGCACGGAUAUUUGUGUGCAUGUGGAAAAAAUGGGUGGAUCAGGUGGUGUAAUUGAUAAAAAAUAAAAAUAAAAAAUUACAGAGGUGAAAUUGCAUUUUAUGGCAAACAGCGUUGCUACGCUGGUUCUCAUUACACUGUCACAGAUGUGUAACACAGGGGCAGCUUUUGUGAGUUUCGGAUGCAUUGUGGUGUAAACAAAGACAUCUGUUCAGUGUUUAGAUUUGUAUGCUGAAAAAAAGCCUGAAAAAGCAGGCUGGUAAUACAGGAACAACAGUAUAUUGAUUAAUCCAUGACACUUGGUGAAUGUGUCACUAGAUGUGCUUCUGUUGUGUUAUGUAAACUGUUAUAUUUUAGGGUGCUAUAGUUGAAUUCAAUAAGAUUUUAAAGUGAAAUUAGGACCGUGUCCUAACUAGGUUUGAACCAGUUUCCACACAAUCACAGCCAAACAGAGCAAAUCUGAUGUUUAAUGCAGCAAAUGGAUAUGCGCUUUUGUUCUUACAAGAAUAGUUCACCUGAAAAUGAAAAUUAGCUGAAACGGUUGAAUUCUGAUGACUGGUGAGCAAGUAAUGUAAUCCUAAAUUUCUACAAAUCUGUCCCUAUUAAGAAACAAACUCAUCUACAUCUUGGAUGGCCUUAGGGUACAUUUUCAGUUUUGGGUGAAUUAUUCCUUUAAAAUGCAGAGAAACACAUUUCGAGUAAGUUGUUAGUAUCAAGUAACUUACAUUUUAGACACAAUAUGGCAGGUGCUUACGUUAUCUUACUUUUUCCCUCUGCCAAACCAAAUUAAUUCUAAAGAUCUGGUCACAUUAGUGAAAUUUUGUUGGGGGUAAAAAAAAGUCCAUUGUCUGUUGUCAGUCGUGUAGUGAUGUACGAAGCACUUUCGAACCAAGCAGCUUUUGGUCAUCAUGGCAAAUUCACAUGCCCAAUGUGAAAUCUGUGUUGGGAAGACUUUAGCACUCACACGAAACUGGAUUUUGCCCAUGAGAAAAAUAGCUGAACAAUGUCAAUUCCAAACAAAGCUACAGCAUAAGAAAAUGUGCCGUCACAUUGUUGUUUUGCAGCUGAAAACAGUCAUUUCAAUAGGAAUCCACUAUACACAACUCAUUUAUUGCUUGUGCUACUGACAGUUAUUUGCUUUUGCAUGUAAGUCAUGGACAUAAAUGCAUGUAAAAUAUCACAUAGUUGUACCUCUCACUAAUUUGCCCUGCAGUGAACCCAGAGGCAGUGGAUAACAUGCCUCUUUCUCUGCGCUCUUGUCUUGUGAAUGAAUUUUAAUGGAAUGUGUGACUAGGAAGCAGUGUGGCGAUGGUCUGUGGAUAUGAAUUACAAACAUUUGACAUUGUAUUACACGCAAUGUCUGUGACCUUCCGUGCAUAUUAAAAUACACCUGCAGUGCUUAACCAUGUGAAUAAUAAUUAUGACAGUUAUGUAAGCUGAAAUAAGGAGAUAAUUACUUUAGUGUUUUUUAUUUAGACAGAGCAAUAUGUUUAGAUGCAUUUUUUUCUGAUUGGUGUAAGGUUACAUAGAUCCUUGUUAUCAAGUCAUGAUCUAACAACUGUGUAGCAGAUUCAUAUGUAUUGCUUUAUGUGAUCUGGAAUGCAUAGGCUAACCUUACUUGAUAUAUUUACACCUCUCAUUCUUUCUUUAUUUCUCUGCAUGUGGAUUUACUGAGGGCAUGUGAGAGGUCAGAGUAAGACACCAUAAUAAAGGAGAUGAAUAAUAGAACUGAUGGCUGCCGGUCAGGAGGGCAGGCCGGGCUAUUUUCUUGCCUCUCAUCGUCAGUCUCUCGAGCCAACACAUGACCAGGGUGGUGCCAAAGUUAUAUACUAGAUGAUUUAUUAAUUUCAUGAAUAAUUGACUAACCUUUUCUCAUCUGUCUUUCUUUUGAGAGGCACCAGAGGUUAUGCGAACAACCUUUAAGUGCAGAUCCUCUGACUCCAGAGAAGCGGUCGCCCCUGCAGACAUCAGAUGUGAGGAAACAGUCAGAUAACAGCGAUUCAGCCUGUUAGGAACCUCCCGAAUGCGUUCCAGCAGAUUGUGGUCAGAUAAACAGUUCUCAGGGCAAAACUUCAAGCAGAGCACGCUCCUCGACGACCUCCUGAGGAGAGAAAAGAGGCGAGGAGAUGGGUUACUGCUUACACCUCCCAGUAUGGAGGCUGUUCUCUCAGUCUCUCCAUCCCGGCAUUGUUUUCAAUUUAGUUGUCUCCGUUCCUCAACGCGGCAGGCAGACAUGCUCUCCAGGGCAAGUAAAUGCUCGACACACCGCCGGGGUCCUCGGCAGAACGGCUGACCAGAGGAACAGCGCCCUAGCAGUUAAACAUAGGGAUUCACACUUGUCUGGUUCUGAGCUCGCUUCCAAUCUGGGUUUUGGAUACAAGUCAAAGAUAACAGCUGUACACGUUGAGGGAUCAGUGAACCCAGCUGACUCCCUGGCAGCCGGAACAACGGCAGGAACCAGCUCAUAAUUAGACACGUUUUGGGUCAUCUUGAGGAGAAACGGAGAGAAGAGAGACAUGCAGGGAGAAUAAGAGGCAAGUAUGUAUAUAAGAAUAGAUGCACACUACUGCUCAGUUUCAUAGCAUGAAGAGCCCAAGCUGUCCUAUUUGUGAAAUUGGUGCCAAUGUCAAGAAAAAUCAGCUUUAAGGAAACAUACUCAUAUGCAGGUGUGCAUAAUAUUUUUUUUUAUUUUUUUUUUUUACUUUUUUAUACCACAAUAGGAAAGAAAAGAUCUGUCACUGCUCCCGUAACAUCAUGACUUCAGUGUAAUUGUUUAACUACCUACAGUAAUAAAGAUUACCUUCAAGCUUUCACUUGCCAUGACAAGUUGUCCUGAAAGAAAAAAAUGACUGAAUAAAAUGACUCCUUAUGCUAAUAUUUACUAAAGCGGUCCUAUGCAAUGAUGAGAAUGCAGCAUUAAAGGGGACAUCAGAUGCCCAUUUUCCACAAGUUGAUAUGAUUCUUUAGGGUCUUCAUGAAGGGUGUGUAACUUACUUUGGUUAAAAUUGGUCAUUUAAAACAACACCUUUUUACCCAAAAAUAGCUCCGUUCACAAUGACCCAUUUGGGUGCAUGUCUCUGUAAAUGAUUAUGAGCUACUGUUCACCAGCCCAUAACAAACUGGCCAUGUGUUUUCUUUUCAGCUUUUCUGAGCUGGCAGACACACCAGAAACCUAACUAAAUGCAAGGAGAAAAAAAAAAAAAAAAAGAGCA